GACGAACGCUGGCGGCGUGCUUAACACAUGCAAGUCGAACGGGACGGCCCUGCUUUGGUGGGGUGCUCGAGUUGCGGCCGGGUGAGUAACACUUGGGUACCCUGCCCCUGACUUUGGGGUAACUUCAGGCCGCUGGGGCUAAUACGGGAUAAGAGCUACUGCCGCUUGGUGGGCGUUGGAAAGAUUCGGCGGUUGGGGAUGGACUCGCGGCGCAUCAGCUUGUUGGUGGGGUAGUGGCUUACCAAGGCCAGGACCGGUAGCCGGCCUGCGAGGGUGACCGGCCACACUGGGACUGAGAUACGGCCCGGACCCGUACGGUAGGCGGGAGUGGGGAAUAGUGUACAGGGGGCGGAGGCCUGAUGCAGCAACGCCGCGUGCGGGAUGACGUCAAGCGGUUUGUAAUCCGCUUUCGCCUGUGACGAAACGAGAGUGACGGUAACGGGUAAAGAAGCACCGGCUAACUACGUG
rnacentral:rRNA from 1 species